ACGAGACCUGUAACACAGUGACGGUGGUAAGACAAAACCCCUUGUCCUAUUUCCACAAUGUUCUAUGACUUUAUUAUUGGUUUCACAGAUACGCUUCUUAAGCAAAGAGAGCAGCAGAAGCUCACCACGGAGUUUUGCCACCAUCAGCACUAAGGGGAAAAGCUUCAGGAAGGCCCACCCAGACCCUCAGAGGUGCUGUCUGGGAGGGAGCAGGGCCUUGGUCCCACCUCUUCACUGCUGUAUGAGUCGGACACGGAGGCCCAGCUGCAGCGAGCCCGCACGCUCUGCACCUGCUCCAUAGACAGCCGCACCGUGCUUCUGCAAACAGCUGAUGGCUGGAAAAGACACAACAAAGUCACACCUCCAGCUGAGGGAGAGUCCCCGUUCUGUAUGUGAAGGCACAGCCUCAUCCAUCGUCUCCUGCUCCUGUUCCCCAGCACAGGGCCUGUGCCCACCUUUCCUCCCUCUUCUCUGAGUGAGCCGAAUGUAGAGGGUGAAGCACAUCAGUACUGAAGUCAUGGAACCGACCCUUUCCCAUGCUUUCUCAAACUUGGAGCCCAAGAGUGCUAGCGAUCUCACAUGUCUGUUGGAUAGAGGAAAACUGAUCUAUCUGGAGCCAUUCGCAAGGUGUCUGAAGAAGAUUUGGUUAAAACACACUACAUAAAGCAAAGCAUGAAAUACUCCCUCGAGGAAAAAAAUGCCCCCAGGAGAAAUCAAAGAAGGAAAGUCUCCCCCUCAGUGGGAGAAGAGGGAGAAUUUUCACGGAUGGGUGGAAUGCCUGUAGAUUAACUGAUAAAUUUGAAUAAUCAGGAAAGAUUGAGAAAGGCAAGAACAGUCAGACUUCCAGGGAGAGGAGACACAGGGGCAUCCAUCACUGAUGUGCCCAUGAAGAAUCCAACCUGCCACAUAUGCUUUUAGGAGCAGGUGCAUCUGGGCUCGGGUCUGAGUGCCCGUGCUGAGAUGGUGCACGCACUGGUGCGUGCCCAGGCGGCUGUCUCACAGCCGUCCACCCCACCGGUCAGAUCUGCAGCCUCAGCAGUCAGUUCUCUUAGAGUCUGUCUACAUUCUCUUAUUCAUUUAAUUAACUACUGACUUUCUUCUGUAGUGACCAAGAGCUACACUACAAGUAACUUUAAACCAUUCAUCUGCAAGCUUGGCAAGAAGACAUCGCUCCCCAAGGCCACAGGUGGAUUUCAUUAAACGCCAGUGGAACUGGCACUGGGGAGCCACAGGAGCAGUGCACAGGGAAGGGGGCUUUUUAUUCCCAGCCAGUUCUGUCCCAGCUGAAGCUCAGCCUCUGGGAGGCAGCUGACCCCAGCUAUCUUGCCCUGUCCCCACACCACAGCACCCAGAUCCUGGUGACCCUACUCUGGGUGUGACAGCUGGGUUCUUGGAUAUGCACCUAACUAAAGAUUAGCCUAUAGUCUUCGUGAUCUAUGAUCGAACCUGGGACAAGAUCAUUAAUUCUGUUGGAAUUUGGGAAAGAGAAACUGAGGCAGUUUCUGAAGCAGAUCAAGAUGAACAUAUUGUAUUUGGAGAUUAAGGCUGGGAAACCAGGAGCCAUGUGUUCUACGGAGCAGCAGAGGGACCCUACCAGGUGUGAGCUGCAAGGCCACCAGGGAGGCGGAGCAGGCAGAGAGGAAGUGCAGCCGCCUCCUCUCGGCACAGAGUCGCUGCCACCGGCCACCCCGACUCUGGGCUGUGCCUCUGUUCUUCCUCCCAUGCCACUUGGACAGCACAGAGAUUCCAUUCCCAAGACUCCUAACUUUCUAGAACCUCCUCUCCCUCCCACCUUUCCCUGAAUGUGCUUGAGGGUCUUUCUGUUCCCACUUCCACACGAGCCCUGUUAGGACAACCACCAGGCAUUGGCGUUCCCUGGGGAACGGGAAGGGGCGGCCGCCUGCCACACCCACUUCUCAUGUCAGACGCAGUCCUCGGAAGCCCAAGAAAAAUUCCUCUUUCCUCAGUCCCCAAGGCUGACAGGAAACCAGACACCUGGUAUCACCACACUGACAAAAGGAGGUGAUCUCUCGGGCUCUAAAGCCGGAAUUUAGUUCCAGUGAGUACUGGAAGAACUGCCGAGAUUGAAAGGCGGCUUAUUUCCUCCUAAUGAGACGUUCUUAACAAAACACCGCAGGGGCGGCCGUGCAGACUUCGAGUGCGGAAACAGAAGGCAGGAAAAGUUGGAGAAGGUGACAGAAGGAACACGGCCGGAGGGUCGGCCGGAGCAGCUGGGAGAGCCUCAGGCAAAAUCGUAGUUAAAUCCUAUCUGCCAAAAAAAGCAUGAAAGAGAUAAUUAGCUAUGAUCUUUUUUAAACUAAAAAAAUGUUUUAAAGAGUAACAAACUGACAGGAGAAGACAGAAAGGCUCCUGCAGGUUGAGGACCGAAGACUUUAUUCAGCACUUACUCUCU